GGAAGCCAGUGUCUUGGGGGUUACAGAACAGCUGCUCAGUGGGAAAGUGGCCAGGUGUCAGGGAAGAGGCAGAGAAUAGCCAAGUGGAAAUGCAGAAAAUUGUUUCUUUUUGGUUUUUAAUCUUCUUAUUGAGCUGGACUGUGAAAGGGAAAUGAAUCAGAAAAACAAGCUUCCCCAUGGGAGCUUCUUGUUGCCCCAAGUACAAGAAGAGUUCAGAAGAGGUGUGUUCUUGGCGGUCUCUGGCUUAUUGUCAUCAUAUCAACACAACGUGGAAACCCCACUUAGGUCAAGAAGGGCCUAAUGCUCCCAUUACCCUUUACUAUGAUGCCCAUUUGUGAUGACUGAUAUCUACGAGUAAUUAGAGGCACGGGAAGUCAAGUGUUGCUCCUGUGUAAGCCCCAAGCAUAGAGCUAAGAAUGCCAAUGACAUACUUCAUCCAAGUCCAAGGUCUUGAGAAGCCAGAUCACCAAUAUCCUUAGCAGACAGAACUAGCUCAAGAGGAGAGAGCAGAUUCAGCCAUUGCCCGUGUCCCUCUGCUGAUUGAAGGAGCAUCCCCCCACAAACAUCACAGGGAGCUUAUCCUGUACUUGGAGGU